rnacentral:rRNA from 1 species
UACGAAGGGGGCUAGCGUUGCUCGGAAUCACUGGGCGUAAAGCGCACGUAGGCGGAUUGUUAAGUCAGGGGUGAAAUCCUGGAGCUCAACUCCAGAACUGCCUUUGAUACUGGCGACCUUGAGUCCGGGAGAGGUGAGUGGAACUGCGAGUGUAGAGGUGAAAUUCGUAGAUAUUCGCAAGAACACCAGUGGCGAAGGCGGCUCACUGGCCCGGUACUGACGCUGAGAUACGAAAGCGUGGGGAGCAAACAGG